CCCUGGGGUAAGCAUGUAGGGCGGAACGUAGGUAAAUCCGCGUUCUAUUCAGCCUGAGAUGUGAUGCCGAGCCGAUUGUGGUGAAGUGGAUGAUCCUAUGCUGCCGAGAAAAGCCUCUAGUGAGUGUUGUGGCGGCCCGUACCCUAAACCGACUCAGGUGGUCAGGUAGAGAAUACCAAGGCGAUCGGGUGAACUGUGGUUAAGGAACUCGGCAAAUUGCAUCCGUAACUUCGGGAGAAGGGGGACCUCUGCUGGUGAUGGGCUUUACGUUCUGAGCUGGUGGGGGUCGCAGUGGCCAGGGGGAAGCGACUGUUUACUAAAAACACAGGUCCGUGCGAAGUCGUAAGACGAUGUAUACGGACUGACGCCUGCCCGGUGCCGGAACGUUAAGGGGACCGCUUAGCCAACGCGAGUUGGCGAAGGUGAGAACUUAAGCGCCGGUAAACGGCGGUGGUAACUAUAACCAUCCUAAGGUAGCGAAAUUCCUUGUCGGGUAAGUUCCGACCUGCACGAAUGGCGUAACGACUUCCCCGCUGUCUCAACCACAGACCCGGCGAAAUUGCACUACGAGUAAAGAUGCUCGUUUCGCGCAGCAGGACGGAAAGACCCCGGGACCUUCACUACAGCUUGACAUUGGCGUUUGGAACGUCUUGUGUAGGAUAGGUGGGAGACUGGGAAGCUGUCACGCUAGUGAUGGUGGAGUCAUUGGUGAAAUACCACUCUGGUCGUUUUGAACGUCUAACUCUGGUCCGUGAUCCGGAUCGGGGACAGUGUCUGGUGGGUAGUUUAACUGGGGCGGUUGCCUCCUAAAGAGUAACGGAGGCGCCCAAAGGUUCCCUCAGCCUGGUUGGCAAUCAGGUGUUGAGUGUAAGUGCACAAGGGAGCUUGACUGUGAGACUGACAGGUCGAGCAGGAGCGAAAGCUGGGACUAGAGAUCCGGCAUCGGCGUGUGGAAGCGGUGUCGCUCAACGGCUAAAAGGUACCCCGGGGAUAACAGGCUGAUCUUCCCCAAGAGUCCAUAUCGACGGGAUGGUUUGGCACCUCGAUGUCGGCUCGUCGCAUCCUGGGGCUGGAGUAAGUCCCAAGGGUUGGGCUGUUCGCCCAUUAAAGCGGUACGCGAGCUGGGUUUAGAACGUCGCGAGACAGUUCGGUCCCUAUCCGCUGCGCGCGCAGGAGACUUGAAGGGGGCUGUCCCUAUACGAGAGGACCGGGACGGACGAACCUCUGGUGUGCCAGUUGUACCGCCAGGUGCACGGCUGGUUGGCUACGUUCGGAAGGGAUAACCGCUGAAAGCAUCUAAGCGGGAAGCUCGCCUUGAGAUGAGGUCUCCCACCCCGUGAGGGGGUAAGGCUCCCGGUAGAUCACCGGGUUGAUAGGCCGGAGGUGGAAGCACGGUAACGUGUGGAGCUGACCGGUACUAAUAGGCCGAGGACUUGACCAC
rnacentral:rRNA from 1 species